CUUGGCCUGGCGCCCGGUCAGCCUCGACCCCGGGGUGGAAUGUCUGCUCUCGGCCUAAUGCAGACCAGAUGCCGGCCUCCCUUUCCUGCGGUGAAGUUUCCAUGGCCUGCUCCCACCCCCUUCCUGUUUUGGCUUCUGGCUCGUCCCCCCACUAAACCCUCUGGUGCCCCCACCUUCCUCUGCCCGGCAA